UCACAGUGAUGACUGGUUUCCAAUCAUUCGCAGUUUCUACCAGAAAGCUUUGCCUGGUGUUGGCUAGUAACCUUCCUUGGAUGUCUGAGUGA
rnacentral:snoRNA from 12 species